rnacentral:rRNA from 1 species
GACGAACGCUGGCGGCGUGCCUAAUACAUGCAAGUCGAGCGCAGGAAAUCGACGGAACCCUUCGGGGGGAAGUCGACGGAAUGAGCGGCGGACGGGUGAGUAACACGUAAAGAACCUGCCCUCAGGUCUGGGAUAACCACGAGAAAUCGGGGCUAAUACCGGAAGGGUCAUCGGACCGCAGGGUCCGGGGAUGAAAGGCGCUCCGGCGUCGCCUGGGGAUGGCUUUGCGGUGCAUUAGUUAGUUGGUGGGGUAAUGGCCCACCAAGGCGUCGAUGCAUAGCCGACCUGAGAGGGUGAUCGGCCACACUGGGACUGAGACACGGCCCAGACUCCUACGGGAGGCAGCAGUAGGGAAUCUUCCACAAUGGACGAAAGUCUGAUGGAGCAACGCCGCGUGAACGAUGAAGGCCUUCGGGUCGUAAAGUUCUGUUGUAAGGGAAGAACAAGUGCCGCAGGCAAUGGCGGCACCUUGACGGUACCUUGCGAGAAAGCCACGGCUAACUACGUGCCAGCCGCCGCCGUAAGAC